GCUGGUCGUUACCCUUGCACUACUUCCAGGUGGUGACUUGGGCUGUCUUCGUGGGCCUUUCCUCG
rnacentral:sRNA from 1 species